AAGGCUACUAGGAAACCGGAUGUACUGGUCUUAUCAGAGAUUCGCGGGUAAGAGACUGGUUGUGGUUAGGGAAGGUAUUAGCACCCCUAACGCACCCUACCUGAGGUAAGCUGCUUCGCGAAUUUGAUGUGUUUAAAGAAGUUUUAAUAAUUGUUUUUUCAUCGGAUAUUAGAAAUACAACUUACGUAUAAGUUAAUAAUUCUUGACCGUGAUCCAAUCAAAAUAUUAAAUUCUUCUUUAAUCUUUGCAAUUUUAUCAUAAAUAAAAAAACACAUUCAUAGAUAAAAAACAUACAAACACACACAUACACUUUCACUAUUUUUCUUUUCUUUUCUUUUCUUUUCCUUAUCUUUUUUUUUAUGUUUACAAAAAUACAAAUUACAAAAAAAAAACUCAAAACUAAACAAAUAUUACAUCAAACAAUUCUAAAAUUACAAAACAAGCCAUUCAAAAAAUCAUAGCAGUGCUGGGACCAGUUAUGUGAAGCCAAAGGACAGUAGGAACUGUGGCGGCGCGUCUCCUCCACGCGCCGCCGCACAAAACGCUGAAAAAAAACAGGGGUCAGCCACAGCUUCCUCCCCUCUUCCCGUCCUCGCCAGUGUGACCUGCAAAAUACCCAAAAAAACGCAACAGGCAGUCGAUUUUAGUUUUUCUUUCCUUUGUUUCAGAUCUGCGUCUCUUUCUCCGUUUCGGAUCGGCUCCUCUACAGAUCGGUUCUUUUCCUUUUUGUUUCUCCUUCUCUGUUUCAGGUGGUCGGCUGUAUGACCAAGAGGGCCGCCGGCUGCUAGGCUUUUGUCGGGUCUGGCCGGCGGCGAUGGAGAAGAGAUCUGUUGUCGCCCGCGGCCGCUGGAGCUGCUAUGGAGAUGGGAGAGGUGGCUUACGGUGUUGAGGCGGAGAUAUCAACGGGGGAGGCCGGUCUGUGGUUCUGGUGAUGAUGGGGACGGCUCUGUGGGCGCUGCUGCGGCUGACGGAGGGUGGAUCUGCAACCGAUCGGUUGAAAGAGAUGACCGGUCUUGGUUGUUCUUUGGCCGUUACUGUUGAAGAAACCACCAAAGAAGAGGCUGCUGAGGGGGAAGCUUUGGAUGGAGAAGCUGUGGGAUGAUUACUGCGGUUGAACAGGAGAGGAAAGGACAGAUCUACAGCUCCUGUGGGGGACGAUGACGGUCGGUCUGAGAGAGGAGAGGUCUGAUGGAGCUGAAACGGCAAAGGGG